GGCUGGAUGGCGCGAACUGGUUAGCGCGUAUGAUUCCAAAUCAUGAGGUUGGGGGUUCGAGUCCCUCUCCGCUG
rnacentral:tRNA from 1 species